rnacentral:rRNA from 1 species
GACAGAGGGUGCAAACGUUGUUCGGAAUUACUGGGCGUAAAGCGCGUGUAGGCGGCUCGGAAAGUCGGAUGUGAAAGCCCUGGGCUUAACCUAGGAAGUGCAUUCGAAACUCCCGAGCUUGAGUUCUGGAGAGGAAGGCGGAAUUCUCGGUGUAGAGGUGAAAUUCGUAGAUAUCGGGAGGAACACCGGUGGCGAAGGCGGCGACCUGGGUAGAUACUGACGCUGAGGUGCGAAAGCGUGGGGAGCAAACAGG